CCUACGGGAGACUGCAGUGAGGAAUAUUGGUCAAUGGGCGGGAGCCUGAACCAGCCAAGUCGCGUGAAGGAAGAAGGUACUUAGUAUUGUGAACUUCUUUUGUCGGGGAACAAAGGCGGAGACGCGUCUCCGGAUGAGUGUACCCGAAGAAAAAGCAUCGGCUAACUCCGGGCCAGCAGCCGCGGUAAGACGGGGGAUGCGAGCGUUAUCCGGAUUGAUUGGGGUAAACGGGUGCGCAGGCGGGAGAUCAAGUCAGCGGUAAAAUGUCGGGGCUCAACCCCGGCCGGCCUGAGAAACUGGUUUUCUAGAGUUGGAGAGAAGUAUGCGGAAUGCGUGGGGUAGCGGUGAAAUGCAUAGAUAUCACGAAGAACUCCGAUUGCGAAGGCAGCAUACCGGCUCCAUACUGACGCUGAGGCACGAAAGCGUGGGGAUCGAACAGGAUUAGAUACCCCAGUAGUC
rnacentral:rRNA from 1 species